GACCAGCGUGGCGCAAUGGAUAGCGCCAUCUGACUUCUAAUCAGGGGGUUGUGGUUCGAGUCCCCAUCGCGGUUCG
rnacentral:tRNA from 1 species